CAACCGGCCCUUUUUAGGGCCACCACAUUCUUCAUGUACGGAAGAA
rfam:Solenopsis invicta Si_gnG.contig41948, whole genome shotgun sequence.